GCGUUAAUCGGAAUUACUGGGCGUAAAGCGUGCGUAGGCGGUUUGUUAAGUCUGUUGUGAAAUCCCCGGGCUCAACCUGGGAAUGGCAAUGGAUACUGGCAAGCUAGAGUGUGUCAGAGGAUGGUGGAAUUCCCGGUGUAGCGGUGAAAUGCGUAGAGAUCGGGAGGAACAUCAGUGGCGAAGGCGACUACCUGGACCAGCACUGAAACUGAGGCACGAAAGCGUG
rnacentral:rRNA from 1 species